UAGGGAAUAUUGGUCAAUGGGUGAGAGCCUGAACCAGCCAUGCCGCGUGCAGGAAGACGGCCUUCUGGGUUGUAAACUGCUUUUAUCUGGGGAUAAAAAUGCCAUGCGUGGUAAAUUGAAGGUACCAGAUGAAUAAGCACCGGCUAACUACGUGCCAGCAGCCGCGGUAAUACGUAGGGUGCAAGCGUUGUCCGGAUUUAUUGGGUUUAAAGGGUGCGUAGGCGGUUCUAUAAGUCAGUGGUGAAAGACAACAGCUCAACUGUUGAGGUGCCAUUGAUACUGCAGAACUUGAGUACAGACGAGGUAGGCGGAAUUGACAGUGUAGCGGUGAAAUGCAUAGAUAUUGUCAAGAACACCGGUGGCGAAGGCGGCUCUCUGGACCGAUACUGACGCUGAGGCGCGAAAGCGUGGGGAGCAAACAGGAUUAGAUACCCUGGUAGUCCACGCCGUAAACGAUGUGUGCUAGACGUUGGGGGUUUGGCCCUCGGUGUCGCAGCUAACGCAUUAAGCACACCGCCUGGGGAGUACGGCCGCAAGGUUA
rnacentral:rRNA from 1 species